UCUUGAAGAGCUUGGAAGGCCUAGAGUUGAUGUUGUUGUCAACUGCUCCGGGGUGUUCAGGGAUCUCUUCAUCAAUCAGAUGAAUCUCCUUGACCGAGGAAUCAAGAUGGUUGCUGAGCUUGAUGAACCGGAAGACCAAAACUUUGUCAGGAAACAUGCACUAGAACAGGCAAAAACACUCGGAAUUGAUGUUCGUGAAGCAGCUACUAGGGUCUUCUCAAACGCUUCGGGUUCUUACUCUUCCAACAUCAACCUAGCUGUUGAG
rnacentral:misc_RNA from 1 species